rnacentral:misc_RNA from 1 species
UCCUGCGUUGCUUGCCUAACGUGACGGAAGUUGAUCCAGGAUGAUUUCCAAUUUUUGCCUCUCGCCACUUUGUGGUGUUAGGUCGACAUGGAAGUACUGCCCAUUGUCCUUGAAUGCCUUGCCCUUUUGCAUAGCAAUCAUGGCCCAUGGGUUUGUGCUAGUUCCCUCGGAUGCAGAACCUUUGGAGGAUGCACAGCAUGUUGCUGUUGUUUACCCACAAAGCGUUCAUGGCUCGGUGCGUACGACCACUGUGCCCGCCAAGGUCCCGUCUUUAACUAGUUUUGGACGGGUCUCAUGCGGUGUCGGCGUCGCAGAGGAAUGCUACCUGGUUGAUCCUGCCAGUAGUCAUAUGCUUGUCUCAA